rnacentral:rRNA from 1 species
GACAGCAGCCGCCGCGGUAAAACGGAGGGUGCAAGCGUUAAUCGGAAUUACUGGGCGUAAAGCGCACGCAGGCGGUCUGACAAGUCAGAUGUGAAAUCCCCGGGCUUAACCUGGGAACUGCAUUUGAAACUGUCAGGCUGGAGUCUUGUAGAGGGGGGUGGAAUUCCAGGUGUAGCGGUGAAAUGCGUAGAGAUCUGGAGGAAUACCGGUGGCGAAGGCGGCCCCCUGGACAAAGACUGACGCUCAGGUGCGAAAGCGUGGGGAGCAAACAGGAUUAGAUACCCCUGUAGUCCCUGUCUCUUAUAC